ensembl:lncRNA
GUAGGUUAAGCUGGCCCUAGUCUUCUCUUUACCCGCUCUGUCUCACUCACUUUUAAAAUUAGUUCAUUUUAUUUUUAUCUUUGUUGUCUGUCUUUGCUUGCGAAAAUGACAUGGCUUCUUCUGGUAAGACCCUGUUUACUCCUUGCAUUUAAAACAUACUAUAGGCAUGUAUGUAUGCAAAUCUCUAAGUCUCUGCACAAGUUGAACUGCACACUCACUCAAGUAUUUUGUCAAAUAAUACAAACAUAUGUCAUGCAUGAUAAAACCUACAUUAAAAACUUUGGUCUCAUAUGGUUUAAAUGUAGAUUUUGAUUUGAGUUGUUUCUUAUAAAUGAAAUGAUCUAAUUCUCUAAUGUAUAUCUUAAUAUACAGUUUUCUUAAAAUAGCUUACUUAUCUGGACAAAUGUAUGUGCAUUUAAUGUGUGUUUUAUCAUACUCUGUCUUUAGUUCUUUAACUUGUAUCUCAUAAAGGUGUGUGUUUGCUUUUAGCUACUUAAGAAAAUUAAAAAUCUCUCUUCUAAACAAGUAUAAACUAAAAACACCCAUCUCUUUCUCUCUUCAGGGGAAGAAAUAAUAUCCAUACAGAGAGGUUGCAACUUACCUGCGCUUAACAGAUGCACCUCCUGCUGUUCCCUAUUUCACUGUCCUUUCUGUAUUUCUGAUUUUUUCAAGCCCUCAAAGAAAAAGUAAAGUACAAAACUCAUCUUAAGCUACUUUUCUAGGGCAGUAGUCCAUGAAGGUAGCAUCAUUUAUGAUUGAUUUUUAUUUUAUUUUUUUCUAAAAAUGUAAUGAAUGUUAAUGUUAAAUGGAUGCAUGAUUGAUGUUUUAGUUUACUCAAAUUUACUCAUGUCAGCAUUGUCAGGGCACGUUUGCAUAAAGGUUUAACAAAUAAGUUGUAAUGUGUCUUUCUGAAUGCAAGAAAAAGGAGUGAUUUGUGUUUUGUUUUUCUCUUUCAGAUUAUACAAUCCACCGGUGUGGUCGAGGUUGUGUGUCACAAUUACACUACCAUUGUGUAUAUUGUUCCUCAAUAAAAAUCCGACGUGACAACUUUGUGGCCCACUUGAAAGGCUGUAAGACUGCUAGUAAAUUAACCACCAUUCCUGAUGUGGGCUUAACUGCCAGUAUAUCGACGACCAUUCCAGAUGUGGCUCCCCCUG